GACAGAGGUGCCGAGCGUUAGGCGGAAUCACUGGGCUUAAAGCGUGUGUAGGUGGAUGCCUAAGUACCUUGUGAAAUCCCACGGCUUAACCGUGGAACUGCUUGGUAUACUGGGUGUCUUGAGCCACUUAGGGGCGACCGGAACAAACGGUGGAGCGGUGAAAUGCGUAGAUAUCGUUUGGAACGCCAAUGGUGAAAACAGGUCGCUGGGAGUGCGCUGACGCUGAGACACGAAAGCCAGGGGAGCGAACGGG
rnacentral:rRNA from 1 species